rnacentral:ncRNA from 1 species
UAAAAGUUUAAUUUUAGCUUAAAGGUUUAUUUAAUUUUUUUUUUACAUGUAAAUUUUUGUGUGUUUAAAGAUAAAUUUUAAUAAUUUAUUUUAAAAAUUUUAUUCGCAGUAUGAAGUUUUAAUAAUUUAAGAAAUUAAGAAUUAUAAAUAAAUUUUAGUAUUGACAAAUUUUGUGCCAGCAGUUGCGGUUAUACAGAAAAUGUAAAUGAAUUUUAUUGGUAAAUAAUUAGAUGUUUUAUAUAUAAAUUAAUUUAAUAUUUUUUAGGUGAAAUUUAAAAUAUUAUUAUAUUUUAUAAUAAAUAUUUUGUUAUUAUGAAAUUUUUAUUUAAACUAGGAUUAGAUACCCUAUUAUUUUAAAUGUAAAUUAAAAUUCCAAAGAAGUAUUAGUUAUGUUCUUGAAAUUUAAAAAAUUUGGCGGUAUUUUAGUCUAUUCAGAGGAACCUGUUCUAUAAUCGAUAGUCCACGAUUUACUUUACUUAAUUUUAAAAAUUUGUAUAUCGUCGUUUAUAAAUGAUUUUAUAAGAAUAAAAAUUUUUAGAAUUUUAAAUUAAUAAAAAUGUCAGAUCAAGGUGCAGUUUAUAGUUAAGAAGAAAUGGGUUACAAUAAAUUUAUUUAAACGAAUUAAUGUAUUUAAAGUUAUUAUAAAGGUGGAUUUGAUAGUAAUAAAAUUAAAUUAAAUUUUAUGAUUUUAGCUCUAAAAUAUGUACAUAUCGCCCGUCGCUCUUAUAAUAAAAUAAGAUAAGUCGUAACAAAGUAGAUGUACUGGAAAGUGUAUCUAGAAAGA